GUACCUGUCACCAUCCCCUGUGUUUUACUUUUUUUAUUAAUGUCUGCUGGAUUAGUUUAUUGGUUUUACUUCAGAAAGAAGAAAAUGUCUUUCAGAGAAGAAAAAACACAAGUUCAGCCAUUCUCUGUCAACCUUCGUUAGAAAAUAGAACAGAAUCACCAGAGGCAGUUCCUAUGAGAAUAUCAUCAGACUAAAACCACCUGCAGGACAAUAAGUAGGACUCAGUGUCCUGCAGAGUAAAUGUGCUUCAGAGUCCAGUUUUAAUCCAUCUGGAUGCUGACACAUCAUCUUUGCAGUUUACUGAAGUAAAACAACAGUUUCCUGCUUCCUGCUGGAUCUUUGUCUGACUGUACAGAAAACAAAGUCGCUCCGGAAUGCAACAGAUGGAAAAUAAAUUUAAAGACUCACUGACUCCAUUGAUCUUCUGCUCACAGUUGGAGCAACUUCAGACUGAAACUGGACUUUAAAUGAGGACAAACUGCUGGAACAGAAGAUAAUGGGUCCUUUUCUGAAGCAUGUUGGACUAAUGGCUGCCAUGAGGGGGAAGAUUUUCUAAACCUCUGAUCGUUAUUUUAUAUAAUUAUGUUUUAUAAACUCUUUUCCACUUAUUGGACAUUUUUUCAUCUGAAAGGACAUUGACCAUGUAAAAUCUUUAGUUGUAACUGAGCUCAAAUUGCUUGUUGCUGAUAGUAACAGUGGGUGAAAUGAACACUGACUGUUAAACUUAAUUCCAGUCUUUAAGGCUUCAUGAUAAUGUGUUCCAGUGUUUGUGAAGCUGCACAGGUUGUAAAUCUGAACAGAUGCAGUCCUGAAUUUGACAUUUUUCUGUGGAAAAUUACUAUGAAAUGAAAACUAUAUGCUAUAUUUUUAUAUUUAUUCAUCUGGGACUGCUAACACAAGUGGAAUGGUUUAUUUUUCUAAACACAUUUUAUG